GCCGAAGGAAUAACGCGCACAAUCGUCGAGCGGACGCACGCGGACGCGCCAUGCGUCACAUCGUCAAGAUUCCCCUGCGAGAGUGCUUCCGGUGGCCCCGCUUGCGGCGUCCGUUCUUCAAGCACUGGCUGCUCCACGUGCUGCGUCUCGUGGAGCUCUUCUGUUGGGUCAUGCUGUUCCGCCUGCUGAUUGCGCUGUCCGCGGUCACUGUGGUCAUCUUGGCGAGCCUUUUGAUCGCGGCUUUAGUGGUGGGCGGCCCGACCCUGCUGCGCUCCCUCGCCGACUUCAUGACCGACACGUUCCGCGAGGUCUUCAUCCUGUGCUCACAGUUUCUCCAGGAUCCUGCACAGGCACGCCUGUUCGACAUCGCCAGGAGGGGAACAAACAUGUGAUUGGAGACGCCAGGUUUCCCUGACUUGGCUGCCAAGCUGGCGAGUGGGCAGGCGGCCGUCCGGCAACGCGGCAACUGUCGGCAUCCACUCGGAGCUCAAGGCACGCCGGUCAAGGCGCGCAUGAUGUGUGAGGUGUAGGUUUCGUCUUGUUUCGUCUCUCGGGUGAGCAGAUGCUGCAAGUCAAUUGGCUACCGACCUGUCCCGGCUAGUUGGCGACUAUAUAUGUCUUUAACGUAGUGGCUACACAACGCACUUGAUGCCAAGACACGUGACAAGUGAGCAGAUCAGUAAUCGCGCGGUUCGCCCCUGUGGUCUCUGUUGUUGCAUCGUCGGCAUACCGGUUCACAGGCCCGCAAAUAAUCCGAAGCACAGGCAUUACAGUGUUGCGCUGUAUAUGUGCGCCGAUCGCGAGAGUCUGCACAUUUUUGUGUCUAGCUGUUUUAUACAGUCGGAGGCCCGCCGCAACCAUUCUGUAGUCAGUUGUGCAAGUUUUAAGGACCACUUGAAGCGAUAGAAGUGAACGUUCUGUAACUCGUGUCCAGCAUCAAGUGCGUUUUAAGCUGCCUCGUUAACAGACGUUCGAACUCUCCCAUAAUUCCACAUAGGCUGGGCAGUCCAUCCCUUUCCUUGCUUUCGCCUUGCGAACAGUCACGUCCAGGGUUCCCUUGAAUGCAUCAGAUCCGCUUGUCACAAGCUGCACUGACGAGGACGAGCAGGGCUAUGUCUUCUCGGGUUGCGCAGGGGCAGCCCUUAAAUCACGAUGUCGAGGAGUGGACACUGGCGGACGACGAUCAAUAACAUGCAAUCGUAAAUGAGGGCUCAGAAGCAAUGAAGCAAUCCUAAGACUGCCGUACUCACCCUGUCGAGUCGUCUUUUAAACGUGCUGAUGAUGAAGCAUGAAUGGCUUGUUAAGGCGACCAAUGAAAUCACUUUUUGCUGACAAGACACAGAAGCGCACUUAUUGAUGUUUGACUACAGAGCUUGCAGGCGUUCAGUUAGCAAAAGGAAUGGUGGCCAGUGCGAACAACAGAAGAGCCGUUACAUGAUAAAGAUGGAAAGGGUUUGCCAACCAGCAGUGGCAGCGAGUUGACAGCUUGCGGUGAACAUAUGACAUAUUCCAACUGCCUUCUCAAACCGUCUCAGGUGCAUCCGAAGUGGCUACACACGCAUCCACGUGAAAAACAAAAAACAAAAGCAAAGCCCAGCUAGACAAACCAGUGUAAUUCCAAGUCUCCGCGUUUUCUUCCAUGUGCUUAUUUCCUGUACUCUGCAGUGUUCUCCUGAGACUUGCAUUUCCCUCACCCGAUGUGUUGAGUGUGUGUUUUCAUAGGCUGUCGCCGUGGAACUGUUUUGAGUGCUUUUUUUUGUGUUGUGUGGUAGUUUUGUUCACUAGACGCAAUUUGUUGCAGGCAACCUCCGAAUACGUGUGUCGCUUGUGUGUGCCCUAUCUGUUCGUUGUGCCAUUAAACUUUGCUUUUCAUGUU
rnacentral:lncRNA from 1 species